GAACGGGGAAGAGGGACAUAAAGGACAAGGCUGUACAGAAGUUGAUUUUGUAAAGGCUCAGGAACUGUGAUCCUGUUAUGUGUUGCCAAGAUUCAACUCCUUGCCAUGACCUCUCCAGCCCUGGGGUUUCUACUGCAACUGAGGUGGCAUCUCACCAGGGGCCACUCUGGGCUUCUCUCCAUGGAUUCAAGACCUGCCACACAGUGCCAAGCCUCAUCUAGUCUCAUGACCCCUUCAUGCCUUUUCUCUUUUUCCCUCAAUAUAUGUUUUUAUUUAAAUUAGAAA